rnacentral:rRNA from 1 species
GUGAUCUAUCCAUGGCCAGGUUGAAGCGACGGUAAGACGUCGUGGAGGACCGAACUCACUUGGGUUGAAAACCGAGGAGAUGAGCUGUGGAUAGGGGUGAAAGGCCAAUCAAACUCCGUGAUAGCUGGUUCUCCCCGAAAUGCAUUUAGGUGCAGCGUCGUAUGUUUCUUACCGGAGGUAGAGCACUGGAUGGUCUAGGGGGCCCACAAGCUUACCGAAAUCAGCCAAACUCCGAAUGCCGGUAAGUGAGAGCGCGGCAGUGAGACUGUGGGGGAUAAGCUUCAUAGUCGAGAGGGAAACAGCCCAGAUCAUCAGCUAAGGCCCCUAAGGGACUGCUAAGUGGAAAAGGAUGUGGAGUUGCUGAGACAACCAGGAGGUUGGCUUGGAAGCAGCCACCCUUGAAAGAGUGCGUAAUAGCUCACUGGUCAAGUGAUUCUGCGCCGACAAUUUAGCGGGGCUCAAGUUAUCCGCCGAAGCUAUGGCAUUCACAUGUUAUGACCGUAAGGUCGUGUGGAUGGGUAGGGGAGCGUCGUGUGCGCGGUGAAGCGGCGGGGUGACCCAGUCGUGGAGAGCACACGAGUGAGAAUGCAGGCAUGAGUAGCGAAAGACGGGUGAGAAACCCGUCCGCCGAAUAACCAAGGGUUCCAGGGUCAAGCUAAUCUGCCCUGGGUAAGUCGGGACCUAAGGCGAGGCCGACAGGCGUAGUCGAUGGACAACGGGUUGAUAUUCCCGUGACCGGCGAAAUAUCGUCCGUGCUGAGGCGAGUGAUACUAAACAUGCAAGCACUUCUCAAACAGCCUUCGGGUUGUUGGGUUGUGUGAGUCUGUGACCUGAUCUUGUAGUAGGCAAGCUGCGGAGGGACGCAGGAAGGUAGCUCUUCCCGGCUAUGGCUAUGUCGGGUUAAGUGUGUAGGGUGGAGUAUAGGCAAAUCCGUACUCCGUGAUGCCUGAGACAUGAUGUGUCCACACCUUGGUGUGGUAAGAGUGAUCCUAUGCUGCCUAGAAAAGCUUCGUGAGCGAGAUAUGAGCCGCCCGUACCCCAAACCGACACAGGUGGAUAGGUAGAGAAUACCAAGGCGAUCGAGAGAAUCGUGGUGAAGGAACUCGGCAAAAUACCCCCGUAACUUCGGGAUAAGGGGGACCUGAUCUGUGAACCAAUUUACUUGGGGAAGCGGUGAGGGUCGCAGAGACCAGGCCCAAGCGACUGUUUACUAAAAACACAGGUCCGUGCGAAGUUGUAAGACGAUGUAUACGGACUGACUCCUGCCCGGUGCUGGAAGGUUAAGGGGACCUGUUAGAACGCAAGUUCGAAGCGGAGAAUUUAAGCCCCAGUAAACGGCGGUGGUAACUAUAACCAUCCUAAGGUAGCGAAAUUCCUUGUCGGGUAAGUUCCGACCUGCACGAAUGGAGUAACGAUUUGGGCGCUGUCUCCACCACGAACUCGGCGAAAUUGCAUUACGAGUAAAGAUGCUCGUUACGCGCAGCAGGACGGAAAGACCCCGGGACCUUUACUAUAGUUUGGUAUUGGUGUUCGGUGUGACUUGUGUAGGAUAGGUGGGAGACUUUGAAGCCGGGACGCCAGUUCUGGUGGAGUCAUCGUUGAAAUACCACUCUGGUCACUCUGGUUAUCUAACCUAGGUCCAUUAUCUGGAUCAGGGACAGUGCCUGAUGGGUAGUUUGACUGGGGCGGUCGCCUCCUAAAAGGUAACGGAGGCGCCCAAAGGUUCCCUCAGCCUGGUUGGCAAUCAGGUUUUGAGUGUAAGUGCACAAGGGAGCUUGACUGUGAGAGGGACACCUCAAGCAGGGACGAAAGUCGGGACUAGUGAUCUGACGGUGGCAUGUGGAAGCGCCGUC